UACGGAGGAUGCAAGCGUUAUCCGGAAUUAUUGGGCGUAAAGCGUCCGUAGGUGGUGGGUCAAGUCUGCUGUCAAAAACUGGGGCUUAACCCCAGGAAGGCGGUGGAAACUGAACUGCUAGAGUGUGGUAGGGGCAGAGGGAAUUCCCGGUGUAGCGGUGAAAUGCGUAGAGAUCCGGAGGAACACCAGUGGCGAAGGCGACACGCUGGGCCGUACCUGACACUGAUGCGCGACAGCAUGGGGAGCAAACAGG
rnacentral:rRNA from 1 species